rnacentral:rRNA from 14 species
GUGAGAUGUUGGGUUAAGUCCCGCAACGAGCGCAACCCCUAUCUUUAGUUGCUACCAUUUAGUUGGGCACUCUAAAGAGACCGCCGGUGAUAAGCCGGAGGAAGGUGGGGAUGACGUCAAGUCCUCAUGGCCCUUACAGGCUGGGCUACACACGUGCUACAAUGGCGGUGACAGUGGGCAGCUACUUCGCGAGAAGAUGCUAAUCUCUAAAAGCCGUCUCAGUUCGGAUUGUUCUCUGCAACUCGAGAGCAUGAAGGCGGAAUCGCUAGUAAUCGCGGAUCAGCAUGCCGCGGUGAAUACGUUCCCAGGCCUUGUACACACCGCCCGUCACACCAUGGGAGUUGGAUUCACUCGAAGGCGUUGAGCUAACCCGCAAGGGAGGCAGGCGACCACAGUGGGUUUAGCGACUGGGGUGAAGUCGGAACAAGGUAGCCGUAGGGGAACCUGCGGCUGGAUCACCUCCUU